rnacentral:rRNA from 1 species
GUAGGGAAUAUUGGGCAAUGGUCGGAAGACUGACCCAGCCAUGCCGCGUGCAGGAAGACGGCCCUCUGGGUUGUAAACUGCUUUUAUCUGGGAAGAAAAAGGCCAUGCGUGGCAAAUUGCCGGUACCAGAUGAAUAAGCACCGGCUAACUCCGUGCCAGCAGCCGUGGUAAUACGGAGGGUGCGAGCGUUGUCCGGAUUUAUUGGGUUUAAAGGGUGCGUAGGCGGCUGAUUAAGUCAGCGGUGAAAGACUUCGGCUUAACCGGAGAAGUGCCGUUGAUACUGGUUGGCUUGAGUGUCGGAGGGGUACAUGGAAUUGAUGGUGUAGCGGUGAAAUGCAUAGAUACCAUCAGGAACACCGAUAGCGAAGGCAUUGUACUGGCCGACAACUGACGCUGAUGCACGAAAGUGUGGGGAUCGAACAGGAUUAGAUACCCUUGUAGUCC